CUUCCGGCCGCGCCUGCGCACGGGGAACCGCCGCGACCUGCCCGGCGGAGCCCGCCGUGUCCCACGUGUGUCCAUCCCUCCAGCCGUGCCCCACACGUGCCCCCCGUGCCCUCGCCAUGUUCACCUGUGCAAAGUUCGUCUCAGCUCCCGCGCUCGUGAGGAGGAGCUCGAGGGUGCUGGGCCAACCCCUCUCAUCUGCGGUGCUGAGCAGCCCCGAGGCCCGGCCAGAGCAGGUAAAACACCUGGGCUGGGGGGCACGGGGGUGGCUGGGGGUGCUCAGUGCCCUGGGAAAGCACAGGGAGGUGGCUGUGCCCCCC
rnacentral:lncRNA from 1 species